UACAGAGGGUGCAAGCGUUAAUCGGAAUUACUGGGCGUAAAGCGUGCGUAGCCGGUUAUGUAAGUCAGAUGUGAAAGCCCCGGGCUCAACCUGGGAAUUGCAUUUGAGACUGUGUAGCUAGGGUGCGGAAGAGGGAAGCGGAAUUUCCGGUGUAGCGGUGAAAUGCGUAGAUAUCGGAAGGAACACCAGUGGCGAAAGCGGCUUCCUGGUCCAGCACCGACGUUCAGGCACGAAAGCGUGGGGAGCAAACAGG
rnacentral:rRNA from 1 species